GCUAGAGGAAACGUCUGGAAGCAUGAACAUGUCUGUAUGAUUAAAAUGUAUAUUCAAACGUUAAUUUUAAUAAUACAUUUUUUUUCGAAUAUCAAAUCUAAGACUUACAGACUAGAAAACAUGGAGGACAUCGAUCGAAUCUGGAGGACGAAACGUAACUUUGCAUGGCUGAAGCAAGUAAUUGCCACAAAUUAUUUGAGAAAACGGAACCGUGUUGACGGAAGCAAGAGCUGCUGUCGGUCCAGUCACAUCAUUGGCAGGCGGACAUUUUGGCUCUAAGCUAACAGCACAUUGGAAGCCUCAUUCUCAGCGAUCAAGGGACUCAAAGGCUCUCCUCCCUGUCCAGCUUCUCUGGUAAGAGUCUUCCUCCCGUCUGUGGCAGUGCCAGUACAGCAUACCAUUUCCCAGGCGUGACUCAAU